GAAACCCGGUGAUCUAGCCAUGGGCAGGUUGAAGGUUGGGUAACACUAACUGGAGGACCGAACCGACUAAUGUUGAAAAAUUAGCGGAUGACUUGUGGCUGGGGGUGAAAGGCCAAUCAAACCGGGAGAUAGCUGGUUCUCCCCGAAAGCUAUUUAGGUAGCGCCUCGUGAAUUCAUCUCCGGGGGUAGAGCACUGUUUCGGCAAGGGGGUCAUCCCGACUUACCAACCCGAUGCAAACUGCGAAUACCGGAGAAUGUUAUCACGGGAGACACACGGCGGGUGCUAACGUCCGUCGUGAAGAGGGAAACAACCCAGACCGCCAGCUAAGGUCCCAAAGUCAUGGUUAAGUGGGAAACGAUGUGGGAAGGCCCAGACAGCCAGGAUGUUGGCUUAGAAGCAGCCAUCAUUUAAAGAAAGCGUAAUAGCUCACUGGUCGAGUCGGCCUGCGCGGAAGAUGUAACGGGGCUAAACCAUGCACCGAAGCUGCGGCAGCGACGCUUAUGCGUUGUUGGGUAGGGGAGCGUUCUGUAAGCCUGUGAAGGUGUGCUGUGAGGCAUGCUGGAGGUAUCAGAAGUGCGAAUGCUGACAUAAGUAACGAUAAAGCGGGUGAAAAGCCCGCUCGCCGGAAGACCAAGGGUUCCUGUCCAACGUUAAUCGGGGCAGGGUGAGUCGACCCCUAAGGCGAGGCCGAAAGGCGUAGUCGAUGGGAAACAGGUUAAUAUUCCUGUACUUGGUGUUACUGCGAAGGGGGGACGGAGAAGGCUAUGUUGGCCGGGCGACGGUUGUCCCGGUUUAAGCGUGUAGGCUGGUUUUCCAGGCAAAUCCGGAAAAUCAAGGCUGAGGCGUGAUGACGAGGCACUACGGUGCUGAAGCAACAAAUGCCCUGCUUCCAGGAAAAGCCUCUAAGCAUCAGGUAACAUCAAAUCGUACCCCAAACCGACACAGGUGGUCAGGUAGAGAAUACCAAGGCGCUUGAGAGAACUCGGGUGAAGGAACUAGGCAAAAUGGUGCCGUAACUUCGGGAGAAGGCACGCUGAUAUGUAGGUGAAGUCCCUCGCGGAUGGAGCUGAAAUCAGUCGAAGAUACCAGCUGGCUGCAACUGUUUAUUAAAAACACAGCACUGUGCAAACACGAAAGUGGACGUAUACGGUGUGACGCCUGCCCGGUGCCGGAAGGUUAAUUGAUGGGGUCAGCGCAAGCGAAGCUCUUGAUCGAAGCCCCGGUAAACGGCGGCCGUAACUAUAACGGUCCUAAGGUAGCGAAAUUCCUUGUCGGGUAAGUUCCGACCUGCACGAAUGGCGUAAUGAUGGCCAGGCUGUCUCCACCCGAGACUCAGUGAAAUUGAACUCGCUGUGAAGAUGCAGUGUACCCGCGGCAAGACGGAAAGACCCCGUGAACCUUUACUAUAGCUUGACACUGAACAUUGAGCCUUGAUGUGUAGGAUAGGUGGGAGGCUUAGAAGUGUGGACGCCAGUCUGCAUGGAGCCGACCUUGAAAUACCACCCUUUAAUGUUUGAUGUUCUAACGUUGACCCGUAAUCCGGGUUGCGGACAGUGUCUGGUGGGUAGUUUGACUGGGGCGGUCUCCUCCUAAAGAGUAACGGAGGAGCACGAAGGUUGGCUAAUCCUGGUCGGACAUCAGGAGGUUAGUGCAAUGGCAUAAGCCAGCUUGACUGCGAGCGUGACGGCGCGAGCAGGUGCGAAAGCAGGUCAUAGUGAUCCGGUGGUUCUGAAUGGAAGGGCCAUCGCUCAACGGAUAAAAGGUACUCCGGGGAUAACAGGCUGAUACCGCCCAAGAGUUCAUAUCGACGGCGGUGUUUGGCACCUCGAUGUCGGCUCAUCACAUCCUGGGGCUGAAGUAGGUCCCAAGGGUAUGGCUGUUCGCCAUUUAAAGUGGUACGCGAGCUGGGUUUAGAACGUCGUGAGACAGUUCGGUCCCUAUCUGCCGUGGGCGCUGGAGAACUGAGGGGGGCUGCUCCUAGUACGAGAGGACCGGAGUGGACGCAUCACUGGUGUUCGGGUUGUCAUGCCAAUGGCACUGCCCGGUAGCUAAAUGCGGAAGAGAUAAGUGCUGAAAGCAUCUAAGCACGAAACUUGCCCCGAGAUGAGUUCUCCCUGACUCCUUGAGAGUCCUGAAGGAACGUUGAAGACGACGACGUUGAUAGGCCGGGUGUGUAAGCGCAGCGAUGCGUUGAGCUAACCGGUACUAAUGAACCGUGAGGCUUAACCUUACAACGCCGAAGCUGUU
rnacentral:rRNA from 1 species